AAUAUUGCACAAUGGAGGAAACUCUGAUGCAGCGACGCAGCGUGAACGAUGAAGGCUUUCGCGUCGUAAAGUUCUGUCCUAGGGGACGACAAUGACGGUACCCUAGGAGGAAGCCCCGGCCAACUACGUGCCAGCCGCCGCGGUAAUACGUCGGGGGCAAGCGUUGUCCGGAUUUAUUGGGCGUAAAGGGUUCGUAGGCGGCCUUUUAAGUCAGAUGCGAUAGACUACAGCUCAACGGUGGUAAGCAGUUGAAACCGAAAUGCUUGAGUUAAGGAGAUGAAAGUGGAAUACCUAGUGUAGCGGAGAAAUGCGUAGAUAUUAGGAGGAAUACCAGUGAAUAAGGCAACUUACUGAACUUAUAAUGACGCUAAGCGACGAAAGCAUGGAGAGCAGACAAG
rnacentral:rRNA from 1 species